rnacentral:rRNA from 1 species
AGUGAACGCUGGCGGUAGGCCUAACACAUGCAAGUCGAACGGCAGCACAGUAAGAGCUUGCUCUUACGGGUGGCGAGUGGCGGACGGGUGAGGAAUACAUCGGUAUCUACUUUUUCGUGGGGGAUAACGUAGGGAAACUUACGCUAAUACCGCAUACGACCUACGGGUGAAAGCAGGGGAUCUUCCGACCUUGCGUGAUUGUAUGUGCCGAUGUCGGAUUAGCUAGUUGGCGGGGUAAAGGCCCACCAAGGCGACGAUCCGUAGCUGGUCUGAGAGGAUGAUCAGCCACACUGGAACUGAGACACGGUCCAGACUCCUACGGGAGGCAGCAGUGGGGAAUAUUGGACAAUGGGCGCAAGCCUGAUCCAGCCAUACCGCGUGGGUGAAGAAGGCCUUCGGGUUGCAAAGCACUUUUGUUGGGAAAGAAAAGCAGCAGGUUAAUACCCCGCUGUUCUGACGGUACCCAAAGAAUAAGCACCGGCUAACUUCGUG